rnacentral:lncRNA from 1 species
CGCAUAAUCAACGCCCACUCCCGCCUCUUCCUUGCUCUCUCCGUCCUCUUCCUCCUCCCUCUUUCCUUCUCCUUCUCCGCCUACCCCUUCAUCAAUCAACUCUUUUCCCAAUCCUCCACCCCCACCAUCGAAACCCACCUCAGUUUCCUCCACACCCCUUUUCAACUGCAAAAACCCCCAACAAUUCCCAUCAAAUACCUCCUCUUCACUCUCCUUAACACCCUCUUCAUCUUCAUUUUCUCUCUCUUCGCCACCGGUUCCAUCACUUACAGCGUUUUCCACGGCUUUUAUGGCCGACCCGUCAAGCUCCUAUCCGCUAUCAAGUCAGCUUUCACUUCCUUCUUCAC